UCCCUCUGGCAAUGGGCAAAGAAAACAUCUUGUUAGUGGUGUUCUUAUAUCAGUCAGGAGUAGAGCAGAUGGCAGUCCUUUGUUCAUCUUAGCUUGAUGCCUGGCUUGAUGGCCAAAACUGUCUUAUGCCUAGGAUAGAUAA